rnacentral:rRNA from 1 species
AGCAGCCGCGGUAAUUCCAGCUCCAAUAGCGUAUAUUAAAGUUGUUGCAGUUAAAAAGCUCGUAGUUGAAUUUCGGGAUCAAUAUAUCGGUCGUGCCUUCGGUAUGCACUGGUAUUAUUGAUUUCUACCUUCUGACGAACUAUGAUGUCAUUAAUUUGGUGUCAUGGGGAAUCAGGACUGUUACUUUGAAAAAUUAGAGUGUUUAAAGCAGGCACACGCUUGAAUACAUUAGCAUGGAAUAAUGAAAUAGGACGUUUGACCCUAUUUUGUUGGUUUCUAGGAUCGACGUAAUGAUUAAUAGGGAUAGUUGGGGGCAUUAGUAUUCAAUUGUCAGAGGUGAAAUUCUUGGAUUUAUUGAAGACUAACUACUGCGAAAGCAUUUGCCAAGGAUGUUUUCAUUAAUCAAGAACGAAAGUUAGGGGAUCGAAGACGAUCAGAUACCGUCGUAGUCUUAACCAUAAACUAUGCCGACUAGGGAUCGGAUGAUGUUAAUUUUAAUGACUCAUUC